rnacentral:lncRNA from 1 species
CCACCACUCCCUAUUGCCCCACACCAGGACCCAUCACCCAUUAUGUUAAUCUACCUGUAUGCAUUUGCAUGUCAAAGCUCUGGCCUAGUGGUGAAGAGGUAUUGGAAUGGCAUGUCCUUUUAGGUGAUCUAUUGUAAUGCUGGUGCAUUAUCCUCAUUUUACAGAUAAAGAAACUUGCCUUUAGGGAGGUUAAGUGAAUCAACAUCUUAAUGAGGCUGGAUUAGAACCCAAGUCCUUUGACUCCAGGGUCUAGGCCCAUGCCUCACCCUGGCCAGAGUUCGUUGUGAGAGAGGACUCAACCGCAGGGCCAAGAGCAUUGUGGCACCAGGGACCUGGAGGGGAAGUGGUAACAGGCACGGAAGGCCAGACCUCCUCACACUCACUCAUCUGUGAGAAAGUACAAAAGCAAGAGAAAGCUGGCUUGGGGGUGGCACUCAACAGGUGCUCUGAGUGGCACCCAGGGCCAGGUCCUGGGAGAGGACAGAAAACAAUUGGGACUCCUCAGCCCCCGGCAGCUCCCGGUGCCCAGUCACCCACAACACAACCAACAGCUCCCGAGGCCCCCGUGCGGCGCGAGGGCGCCGGCGGGGAUCCACAGGCGCCGAGGCUGCCCCCAAGGCCCCAUUCACGGCGGCGGACCUAGCCAACAGCAAUGCCGGCGCCGCUGUGGGCAGGAAGGCCGGGCAGCGCAGCCUGCACAGCGCCCCCGCGCCCGCGCCUCCCACACUCUGCAACAACCACCUGGAGAGCCCGGAAUGGCGGUGCUGCAGCCCCACGCUGCGCGAGAGGAACGCGCUCAUCAACAACGAGCUCGGCCGGGUGCGGUGGCUCACGCCUGUAAUCCCAGCACUUUGGGAGGCCGAGACGGGCGGAUCAUGAGGUCAGGAGAUCGAGACCAUCCUGGCUGACACGGUGAAACCCCGUCUCUACUAAAAAUACAAAAAAUUAGCCCGGCGCGGUGGCGGGCGCCUGUAGUCCGAGCUACACGGGAGGCUGAGGCAGGAGAAUGGCGUGAACCCGGGAGGCGGAGCUUGCAGUGAGUGGAGAUCGCGCCGCUGCACUCCAGCCUGGGCGACAGAGCGAGACUCCGUCUCAAAAAAAAAAAAACAAAAAAACAACGAGCUCAUGGCCGAUGUGCACUUUGUCUUGGAGCCCCCGGGGGCGACCAGGACGGUGCCCGCCCACAAGUACGUCCUGGCUGUC